ACGCUCGACACCUACGGGGGCAGCAGUGGGGAAUAUUGCACAAUGGGGGAAACCCUGAUGCAGCGACGCCGCGUGAGCGAAGAAGUAUUUCGGUAUGUAAAGCUCUAUCAGCAGGGAAGAAAAUGACGGUACCUGACUAAGAAGCCCCGGCUAACUACGUGCAGCAGCCGCGGUAAUCUGAGCGGGCUGGCAAGGC
rnacentral:rRNA from 1 species